rnacentral:sRNA from 1 species
GCUGGGCGCGUUGGCACAUGCCUGUGAUCCCAGUGCUCAGGAGGCUGAGACAGGAGGAUCGCGAGUUCAAAAACAGCCUCAGCAAAAGCGAGGUGCUAAGCAACUCAGUGAGACCCUGUCUCUA